UAAACGGUCUUUUUCAAGACCAAUGAGUUUUUUUUUUAAAUGAUUU
rfam:Aedes aegypti strain Liverpool supercont1.33 genomic scaffold, whole genome shotgun sequence.